AGACUGUCCCUACACACUGUACUGAGGUAAUGUCCAACUGUCCCUAUACUGUGUACCGAGGCACUGUCAGACUGUCCCUACACACUGUACUGAGGUAAUGUCCAACUGUCCCUAUACUGUGUACUGAGGCACUGUCAGACUGUCCCUACACACUGUACUGAGGUGCUGUCCGACUAUCCCCACACUCUGUAUCAAGGUAUUGUCUGCCUAUCCCUACAUUCUGUACUGAGGUACUGUCCUGCUGUCCAACUGUCCCACAGUAGUGCCCAAGAAUAUCAAAAUGAAUACCUACUAAUAUUCAGAAACUGAACAGAUAUUUAAUAAGCUUUAACACGCUCAAAAAACAAAAUGAACAAAAUCAAUGGCCUUCACCCAAUACAUUUCAGUGAGCCAGUUUUGCUUUCAGUGGACUGGAACCUCUUUCUGAUAGUAUAAUUCCAUUCUUUUGUUAAUUGGCAUGCUUUGUGUAUGUCUUAACAGGUGGCUAUUUAUCUGGGAAACAGUCGGCGGACUUCAUCCAAAAUGCCAUUCUCAAAUUGUGUGCACAGUUGAAGGAUGAUGCCGUUGCUCUAGUGGACGUCAUGGCUCCCCCUGACUUCAUCCUUAACUCGCCUCUCGGCCGUGCGGAUGGCGAGCUUUACAAGAACCUGUGGUCAACAGUCCUCCAGGGAAAUGGGGUCCUAGAACGUCCAUCCUGGUGGUCUGAGUUCUGUACCAAUAAGCCAGUUGUGGGGUCCCUCCGGCCCAAGCUGUAGGGGUUGUGGACCCAUAACUCUGCAGGUGAAGUCAAAUCACCGUCAUCUUCAGCAGGUCUACAGAUGGGCUUGAUAACAAACCUCACCCCACCCACACAAGAAGAUCUAUUUUCAUUUCUUCACGAGGCAUAAGAGGAACGUCAUCGCAAUGAUAUAUUUUGUUGUUUUCCAUUUUGACACUAAUCCUGAGUACUGGGAACAUUACACCUCCUGAACACAACUGAUACCAGCUUCUGGAUCUACCCCAAAAUCAUUUUUAUUUGCAGUUGCAAUGACAGCAAUUAAGAUGCCAACAUUACCCAUUGAAUUUAUGUUCUAUUAUUUUGUAAUGUAAAUAUUAAUAAAUUUUAAUUACUAUAAAACAAUAGUUUUGCAGAAAUACACAUUCUGAUGUGACGCUAUAAUUGGUCAUUUGACCUUUUUAACAUUAAAAUAGUUUUGACUUUAACAUGAAAUUCUGGGCUUAUUUUAGUCACGGGUCUUCCCUAAUACUUGCAUCGCUGUCAGAAAUUUGACUUUAGCAGACUUGUUUUGAUCAUUCCCACUUUACAUUUUGAUUUCAGCAGGAGGAACGGCACAAAUAUGGUUACUGUCAUUCUGACAUUACAUCCUUAUGACUUGCAUCCUAAUGUAGAUGUUUAGUUAUAGUUUGGUGUUAUAAAAAAGGUCACCAUUUGAAUUUAUAUCAGCAAAUACUUAAAAGCCAAUGACUAGAUCAUUAUUACAGCUACGUUAUGCAGCAAUAAAGUGAAUCAGCUGAGUA